rnacentral:ncRNA from 1 species
CAGGUAGAGGCGCGGUUUGUAAUGAGUACCGCAGACAGUAAAAGCUGGAUCGUCAGCCGUCUGUGGGAAAGGUGUCAGCCGCCGAAAUGAAGCAGAGGACGAUCCGCUGUUUCGUUGGGCCGUCAGAAUAAGAUCUGACGGACUGUCACAUCUGUGAAGCGCUGCUG